CUGGCUCAGAGUGAACGCUGGCGGUAGGCCUAACACAUGCAAGUCGAACGGCAGCACAGAGGAGCUUGCUCCUGGGUGGCGACCGGCGCACGGGUGAGUAACGCGUAUGCAACCUACCUAUCAGAGGGGAAUAACCCGGCGAAAGUCGGACUAAUACCGCAUAAAACAGGGGCACCGCAUGGUGAUAUUUGUUAAAGAAAUUCGCUGAUAGAUGGGCAUGCGUUCCAUUAGGUAGUUGGUGAGGUAACGGCUCACCAAGCCGACGAUGGAUAGGGGAACUGAGAGGUUGGUCCCCCACACUGGUACUGAGACACGGACCAGACUCCUACGGGAGGCAGCAGUGAGGAAUAUUGGUCAAUGGGCGGGAGCCUGAACCAGCCAAGUCGCGUGAAGGAAGAAGGAUCUAUGGUUCGUAAACUUCUUUUGCAGGGGAAUAAAGUGCAGGACGUGUCCUGUUUUGUAUGUACCCUGAGAAUAAGGAUCGGCUAACUCCGUGCCAGCCGCGGC
rnacentral:rRNA from 1 species